GGAGCCUGCAUGAAUAUUUAUGAGAGGAGAAGCAUGCACAGGCGCAAUUGCGCUUCAUGCCACCUCAUGGGACACGUGCUCCAAAAAUGGGUUAGCGUGACGAUCGAGGGUGACGUUUUCAACCGUCAGAAGUCAAAAGGUGAAGCAGAGUACACAAAGACCCUCACUGUCCAUCCUGGACAGACUGGUCAGAACCAUGCUGUGGUCGGUGAUCUGUUAUCAGGAAGGAACGCUGGGCAGCUGUGUUGAAACCGCCCCAGCUGCGGGCGGUGGGCAGUCCUUUCCGAAGAGCUGCUCUUUGUUUAACUCGAAGGGAAGAAGGCCUGACGGAGGGUAAUGCGGAAGGGGGUGUAAUAAGCUGGCUGGGACGGAGAUGACCCCAGGGCGACCUCAGAAGCCACCAGUUAUGAAAAGCAGAGCCCCCAUCAGCCCAGGUGCCCAAAUGACUACACGAAGGAGGCACCCCACUGACCUGUUUGGUGAACAAGAAGUAAACUCUAUGAUAUUUGUGCUGUUAUGCAUUUUAAGGUCAA